rnacentral:tRNA from 1 species
ACGUUAGUAGUAUAAUAAUAUUAUUCCGCCUUUCCAAGGCGGAUAUCUCGACGAGUUAACGUA